rnacentral:lncRNA from 1 species
UUGCCCAGGUGGUAGAUGCAUCCUCGGAGAAGUUCUUUGAGCCACAAAAUCCUGGAGGUUGUGGCCACUUGUAGGAGUGGGGAGCUCUGAGGAUUUGGCUGUGCUGACUCGGUAUUACAAGGCAGCCCCGCCCCCUCUCCCAAUUCCAUUAUUCCCUUCUCUAGUGCAGGACAGGCAGUUGGGAAGCCGCCUCCUCUGAGGGGUCUUUCUCGAUUGGCAGCAGCAUCGCAGCACGUGAGCAGCCUCAACAUUCCAGGCGCAGGGAAUUAUCCUACCACAGCGGUAUACCACAGCAGGUGUCCCUCCCCCUAACUUUGCCCCUCCCCGGAACUUGACAGCGCUCCUCACUCGAGUACUCGAGCCCUGAGGAGAGCGCAGCAGUUAGCCGGCCGGCUAAGUCUUCUGGCGUCCCCGUGGUCCCUGGUCUCCAGUUCCACACCGAGUUCUUCCCUCUCACCCAGCCAUCGCCACUGAGCACAGUAAGAGAUUAAUAUUUGCUUCAUGGAAUGGAAUGGUUUUAAAUGGGAGCAGUAGAUGAGGUACAGAAACUUGGCAUGGGGGCAGGGGUCGGGAUAGGGAAGAUGGCGGUUGGGGUGGGGCGGAUGGCGGUUGGGGUGGGGUAGGGUAGUGAGAGGUAGAGACUCGAGUUGCCCUUCCCCCACAAGGAGCGUGCUAGGAGUGCAGGUGGCGGGAACAGCAGUCAUUGGCUGGAGCUAGUCACGUGGGAGGGAAUAGCUGAUUUUCAUUGGUGGAAAAGAUGGCGGAUAGCCUAAUGGCGGCGGAGAGCUUACGUACUCCAUUUUGAGGAGAGCUGAGGUACUAACGCAGCUCCACCUUCUGUGAUCAGGUUCUUCGGAACAACUGAGCCCAGAUCGCAGUUCCCAUCGCCCGAGUCUGCAGUUGCCGAGGGUCCUCCCAGACGCACCGUGUGAGGCACCGAGGCUCCGGCAGAGAGGCGGGUCGUGGUGUGCAGCAGCCGUAGUCCAGUGGGGGUA